rnacentral:rRNA from 1 species
GACGAACGCUGGCGGCGUGCUUAACACAUGCAAGUCGAACGGAAAGGCCCCUUUGGGGGUCCUCGAGUGGCGAACGGGUGAGUAACACGUGAGUAACCUGCCCUUGACUUCGGGAUAACUUCAGGAAACUGGGGCUAAUACCGGAUAGGAAUCCUUGCUGCAUGGUGGGGGUUGGAAAGCUUCGGCGGUUUUGGAUGGACUCGCGGCUUAUCAGCUUGUUGGUGGGGUAGUGGCUUACCAAGGCUUUGACGGGUAGCCGGCCUGAGAGGGCGACCGGCCACAUUGGGACUGAGAUACGGCCCAGACUCCUACGGGAGGCAGCAGUGGGGAAUAUUGCACAAUGGGCGGAAGCCUGAUGCAGCAACGCCGCGGGCGGGAUGACGGCCUUCGUGUUGUAAACCGCUUUCAGCAGGGGCGAAGCUUGUGGUGACGGUACCUGCAGAAGAAGCACCGGCUAACUACGUG